GGCUGCUGUGGCCUAAGUGGUUAGAGCGUCCGCCUCGUAUGCGGAAGGUCACGGGUUCGAACCCGGGUCGAGUCG